GGGAAUGUGGCUUAGUGGUAGAGUGCUGGCCUGGCAUGCAAGAAGCCCUGGGUUUGAUUCCUCAGCACCA
rnacentral:tRNA from 1 species